NNNNNNNCUCAAGCCUCACCUCCAGUAGGCGCCUCGGCCGCUCUGGGCCAGCCUCUGGCUCCUUCGCACUAACUCUUGCUCUCGCCCAGCUGACCCCCGCCUUGCCCUGGCCGCCGCAGGGGCUGGCCACUCACCACCAGCCCGGCCGGCCGGCGGGGCUCCGACGGGCUCGUCAUUAACCUCUCCCUCGCCUCGACUAACUCCUGACUUCCCGGUCUGUUCCUUUCAGCAGAAACUAAUGGCUUGCGGAUUUCUUUCCGACUAACCACAGGUCUAACACGCCUCGUUACGUUGGCAGCUUGGAUGUCAGCAUGGCUGGG
rnacentral:lncRNA from 1 species